AGAGUUUGAUCAUGGCUCAGAAUCAACGCUGGCGGCAUGCCUAAUACAUGCAAGUCGAACGCGUGUAGCAAUACACGAGUGGCGGACGGGUGAGUAACGCGUGGGAACCUGCCCUUGAGUGCGGGAUAACCGAGGGAAACUUCGGCUAAUACCGCAUGAGCCCGGAGCAAUCCGGGGAAAGAUUUAUCGCUCGAGGAGGG
rnacentral:rRNA from 1 species